GACAGAGGGUGCAAACGUUGUUCGGAAUUACUGGGCGUAAAGCGAGUGUAGGCGGUCCGAUAAGUCGGGUGUGAAAGCCCUGGGCUCAACCCAGGAAGUGCAUUCGAUACUGCCCAGCUAGAGUCCCGGAGAGGAUGGUGGAACUCUCGGUGUAGAGGUGAAAUUCGUAGAUAUCGAGAAGAACACCGGUGGCGAAGGCGGCCAUCUGGACGGUGACUGACGCUGAGACGCGAAAGCGUGGGGAGCAAACAGG
rnacentral:rRNA from 1 species